UAACAGCACUCUUCCUGCCCAGGCACAAAACACUAACUACCCUAUGAAAGGGGCCAUAACUAUAUUCUGUGACUCAAGGCAUUUCCCAGCCUGCAGUUCCUAUACCCCUUCUCAGUUCAAACACUUUAAGAAUCACUUGAAGACCUUAUUACAGAUUCUGAUUCCGUAGAACUGAAGGGAAGCCAAGGAUUUUACAUUUCACAGAAGAUUCCUGGUGAUGUUGAUGCUUCUGGCCCAGGGACUACACUUUGAGUAGCAACGGCCAAGAUGAUCUCAGAACUUCUUUCAAACCCUGCUACACUCUGAAGUCAUUUCUAUUUGUUUCCCCCAUUACAUGGCUUAAAUAAACGUACAUAAACAUUGUACAUAAUAUAAGAAGGUUAAACUUUCAUUAAAUUGUCUCUUCAGGAAAGAGGGAGAGUUGUACCAUCUUUGUGCCCCUAACCCACAGUGUUCUGCCGUAUGAAUAACUGAUACUGCAUGGCAUUGGAUAAAUGAAUUACUGAGCUUAGAUGGAGACUGAGGAAAAGACUGCAGAAUAAUACAAUGAAAACUUCAUGAAUAUCAUAGUAAACAUUCUUCCUGAAGAGUUGGCCUUGCUCCCUUAGCAGACUCUGUGCCCAUUGGAAUAGCAUGUUUUUUGCUAAACCUUUGCUUACACUUCAACGCACAUCCUUGCCUCAGGGACGUCACCUGAUUAAGAUUUAGUAUCUUAAUCUUGGGAAUGGGCUUCAUUUACGAGGAAGGCAAGGCCAUUCAAUUCCAAUUAACUGCACAGUUCUUGUGUAAAAAACAACCUUAAACUUUUAGACUAUUUAAAGAAUAGCAGAAGCCCCCACCCUUACUUUUUCAUAAAACAGAAUUGUCCUGACAUGGCUUUCCUGUUCUUUUGAGUCAAUAGGCUCAAAUAACUUAAAAAUAGAUGUUGGUUUUACAUUUAUCAUUUGAACAAACAUGGGAAAUACAGAAAUAAUUGCUAUGGAAUUCCGGGUAUAGUUUUUCCAUCUCUACAAUUGGCGAGGUGGUUCUUAGAGAACAGUAGACUACGUAAAUGCAUGUGCUGGGGAUGUGCUAGCAUCUAGCCUCGUAAGACAUAAUGUCAUCUGAGGCUAAUCUCACUCGGAGG
rnacentral:lncRNA from 1 species